rnacentral:rRNA from 1 species
UACGGAGGGGGCGAGCGUUAUUCGGAAUUAUUGGGCGUAAAGGGCGCGUAGGCGGCCUGGUCAGUCGAAGGUGAAAUCCCCGAGCUCAACUUGGGAACUGCCUUCGAUACUGCCGGGCUUGAGUCCGGGAGGGGAGAGUGGAAUUCCCAGUGUAGCGGUGAAAUGCAUAGAUACCACCAAGAACCCCGAUUGCGUAGGCAGCUCGCUGAGCCGAAACUGACGCUGAGGCACGAAAGCGUGGGGAGCGAACAGG